rnacentral:rRNA from 1 species
GGACGGGGGGCAAGCGUUAUUCGGAAUCAUUGGGCGUAAAGGGCAGGUAGGCGGCUUGGUAUGUCGUUUUGUGAAAGCCCUCGGGCUCAACCGAGGAAUUGCAGGAGAAACUGCCGAGCUUGAGUCCCGGGAGAGGAGAGCGGAAUUCCCAGUGUAGCGGUGAAAUGCGUAGAUAUUGGGAGGAACACCAGUGGCGAAGGCGGCUCUCUGGACCGGUACUGACGCUGAGCUGCGAAAGCUAGGGGAGCAAACGGGAUUAGAUACCCCGGUAGUCCUAGCUGUAAACGAUGAGCACUUGGUGUGGCGGGUAUCGACCCCUGCCGUGCCGUCGCUAACGCAUUAAGUGCUCCGCCUGGGGAGUACGGUCGCAAGGCUG